UCCCUUUCUCCCCUCCCUUCCCAUACAUCCCUUCAGAGCAGAGGAUGCAGGGAAGAAAAGAGGGAGCUUUUAACUCUUCUCAAAACCAGUGCAGGAGUUAAUGAGCUUUUCUUGUAGCGCUGCUGCUGCAAAUCUGCUCGCAUUUUGGGGAAGUAGCUCUGGGGGGACUUGGUCUGAUCAGUGAAAUCAUCAAGGCUGCUUGGUGAGGAGCCCGCCAGCCCUGUUCAUCAGCCACUGGUGUUCCAGUCACAAAGGCAGCGUUCUGUGCCCCGUUUGCUCGGCCUCCUGGGUCGGUGCACAUCAAGAGCUUCACCUCUGUGCCUGGCUGCUGCGUGCCCCAGUUCUGGGGGCUGAUCCUGGCCGAGGUGCUGCAGUUGCUGUAGUUUGUGCUGCAGCUGCAGCACGGAACUGGGGAGGGCAAAACAGCCCCCAGCUUCAGCUGUUGUUAGGGGCGGUGCUCAGCCACUCGGUGCCUUACUGCUGGCUGAUCUGCUUUCUAACGAGCUCUCCUCACCUCCUCAGGAUCACGACUUCUUCCAGCACGUGGAAAUGCACUUGAGAUCUGAGCAUCCUCCUCUCUGUGGGCGAGACCAUCUCAGCUUCCGCUCCUACUACUUCCCAGUGAAGAAUGUGAUCGAUGGGGACCUGUGUGAGCAGUUCAACUCCAUGGAGCCCAACAAGCAGAAGAAUGUGGCCGAAGAGCUGGACCGGACCCCACCCGAGGUGUCCAAGAAGCUGGAAGACAUCCGCACACGCUAUGCUUUCUGAGCAGCAGCUGGCAGGAGCAGAGCUUCUUGCUGGGCUCCUAUGGACGCUCUUCCAAGCACAGUUGGGAGGAGGAAUGUGUGUUUUGUUUCCCUUUUUCUAAAUACUGAUUUGCUCCUCUUGGUUUAUGUUUCAAAGCAAUGCGAUUCCUCCGGUAAAUGCCAGUAUCUGAUAGUAGGUCUUCCAACACAUCCCACUGCUUACGUGAAGGCUCGUGCUGUCCUGGGUUCCAGCCAGAGAGAAUCUCUCUUGGGAAAUGCCCAGGGGAGGAUGUGGUUUGACCCCUCAGCUGAUCCCUGGAUCAGCUCCUCAGUGUCAUUCACCCUGAAGGCCAAAGGAGGCCAAGGGUGACUUGUCCUGAGGGCGGAUCAGGCUGAGACCUGCAGGACCAGCUGGGCUCUCCCCAUCUUUUUGGUAAAGGAAACAGCUUGGGCCUGAUGGAAAGCUGCUGGGUUCCAUUCAGUGGCCGGUGGGGAGAGGUGUGGGGUUCCCCCAGCCCUGGGAGCAGCCUGGGGGACGUGAGGCUGGGGGAGGCUGCGCUGCCAUGCAUGUCCCUGGUGUUGCCUUCUGAGCAAGUUUUGGAUUCACCAUUUUUGACUGUUUUCUCUGUAAAUAAGAGUUUUGUACAAUGUUGUCUCUUGGGGGCGGGGAAGAGCAAGGCCUGAGUCUGGGACUUGAUUUGUUUCAUAAUAACUUUGGCAAGAGCAGUGUCUCCAAGCUGUGACUGAGUAGCACACGAAGAAUAAAAGCCUGUUUUUUAA